rnacentral:rRNA from 1 species
CAGUCGCCGCGGUAAGACAGAGGAUGCAAGCGUUAUCCGGAAUGAUUGGGCGUAAAGCGUCUGUAGGUGGCUUUUCAAGUCCGCCGUCAAAUCCCCGGGCUCAACCUGGGAAUGGCAGUGGAUACUGGCAAGCUAGAGUGUGUCAGAGGAUGGUGGAAUUCCCGGUGUAGCGGUGAAAUGCGUAGAGAUCGGGAGGAACAUCAGUGGCGAAGGCGGCCAUCUGGGACAACACUGACGCUGAGGCACGAAAGCGUGGGGAGCAAACAGGAUUAGAGACCCCAGUAGUCCCUGUCUCUUAUAC